ensembl:lncRNA
CUUUGGAUAGAAGCAACAUCUACUUAAAAUCUUAUGCAGAUUUCAUUUACAUCUCAGUUCUACAAGUCUGAGGGAGUGGAGGUGCUUUUGCCUACUUAGCUUUCAAGAGGAAGCUCUGAGAUGCUGCUGGGUUUCCCAGCUAGUUAAAACCUGCAAGGGCAAGAUGCAGAACUGUGUGUUAUCUCUUUAGCAGACUGAAGCUCUCAAUUCAUUACAGCCUGCAGAAAGGAAGCAUGCAGAUUAGAAGAGCACCUAUUUGGUGUGCUUGUAGGAUACAGAGAUCUCAAUUUUAAAACCAUCCCUAUUCAAGCACACUAAUGUCUUCUCUGGAAUACAUCCCCACACCAAAACAGCUGGUACUGUGUGUGCUUCAUACUGACUGAUAGGGAAGAAGAUAUUCCCCAUACCAUCUUCUCCUGCCUGCUAAAGCAUCAAACAACCAAGGAUUGGAGAAAUCUUCUGUGGCUCCUCUUAUAUACCCUGAGGAAGUUUUGCCAGAGGUGAACUAGAUCUUGCUCAAGUGUUUGCAUAGGAAGUUGGCCACCUGGAGGAUGUGAGAAGGAGUUGAAUUUAGUAAGAUACGCUGCACGGAUAAAGCAUGAUGAGUCAAAGUGAGCAGUAUCUAGAGCAUGACCAAG